UACAGAGGGGGCGAAGCGUUAUUCGGAAUUAUUGGGCGUAAAGGGCGCGUAGGCGGCAUGGCAAGUGGAUGGUGAAAUCCCUCGGCUUAACCGAGGAACUGCCGUCCAAACUGCUUCGCUUGAGACCGGGAGAGGUGAGUGGAAUUCCCAGUGUAGCGGUGAAAAUGCGUAGAUAUUGGGAGGAACACCAGUGGCGAAGGCGGCUCACUGGACCGGUACUGACGCUGAGGUGCGAAAGCGUGGGGAGCAAACAGG
rnacentral:rRNA from 1 species